CCUAUUUUCUAGAUUACAACUAGAACUAACUAGAACUAGAACUAGAGGAACUAGAACUAGAACUAGAGGAACUAGAACUAGAACUAGAUGAACUAGAACUAGAGGUAGAACUAGAAGAACUAGAGGGAUCCUCUCUACUUGGAUGAAGAAUUGAAACCCUAACUUUGAUUCUGUAGAAGAGGUAUGAUCUCCAGGGGCCAGGGGGUCUGGUUUUAUAGUCCCCUCAAGUGAAUCUGGGCCAUCGGAUCAAACCGACAUUAAUCGCACGGUUUUCCUUGAUCCUUUAGGUCGGUGGAGCAUAAUCCGCGAAACGUGUCCUGAUUGGGCACUGUAGCUGGGCGGA
rnacentral:lncRNA from 1 species